UACAGAGGUCUCAAGCGUUGUUCGGAUUCAUUGGGCGUAAAGGGUGCGUAGGCGGCGCGGUAAGUCGGGUGUGAAAUCUCGGGGCUUAACUCCGAAACUGCAUUCGAUACUGCCGUGCUUGAGGACUGGAGAGGAGACUGGAAUUUACGGUGUAGCGGUGAAAUGCGUAGAUAUCGUAAGGAAGACCAGUGGCGAAGGCGGGUCUCUGGAGAGUACCUGACGCUGAGGCACGAAGGCCAGGGGAGCAAACGGG
rnacentral:rRNA from 1 species